GGUGAACGCUGGCGGCGUGCCUUAAGCAUGCAAGUAGAACGGUAACGCGGGGCAACCUGGCGACGAGUGGCGAACGGGUGAGUAAUGUAUCGGAACGUGCCCAGUUGUGGGGGAUAACUGCUCGAAAGAGCAGCUAAUACCGCAUACGACCUGAGGGUGAAAGCGGGGGAUCGCAAGACCUCGCGCAGUUGGAGCGGCCGAUAUCAGAUUAGGUAGUUGGUGGGGUAAAGGCUCACAAAGCCAACGAUCUGUAGCUGGUCUGAGAGGACGACCAGCCACACUGGGACUGAGACACGGCCCAGACUCCUACGGGAGGCAGCAGUGGGGAAUUUUGGACAAUGGGCGCAAGCCUGAUCCGGCCAUGCCGCGUGCGGGAGGAAGGCCUUCGGGUUGUAAACCGCUUUUGUCAGGGAAGAAAAGACUCCUGUUAAUACCGGGGGUUCAUGACGGUACCUGAAGAAUAAGCACCGGCUAACUACGUGCCAGCCGCCGCCGUAA
rnacentral:rRNA from 1 species